GAUGAAGAACGUAGCGAAAUGCGAUAAGUAAUGCGAAUUGCAGAAUUUCCGUGAAUCAUCGAAUCUUUGAACGCACAUUGCGCCCCUUGGUAUUCCAUGGGGCAUGCCUGUUCGAGCGUCAUCUACACCCUCAAGCUCUGCUUGGUGUUGGGCGUCUGUCCCGCCCCCGCGCGUGGACUCGCCCCAAAUCCAUUGGCAGCGUUCCUUGCCCCCUCUCGCGCAGCACAUUGCGCUUCUCGAGGGCGGCUCCGGGACGCGAUCCAGCAAGAUGACCACCGUCUUUGACCUCGGAUCAGGUAGGGAUACCCGCUGAACUUAAGCAUAUCAAUAAGCGGAGGA
rnacentral:misc_RNA from 1 species